UGGGGAAUAUUGCACAAUGGGCGCAAGCCUGAUGCAGCCAUGCCGCGUGUGUGAAGAAGGCCUUCGGGUUGUACAGCACUUUCAGCGCGGAGGAAGGCGAUAAGGUUAAUAACCUUGUCGAUUGACGUUACCCGCAGAAGAAGCACCGGCUAACUCCGUGCCAGCAGCCGCGGUAAUACGGAGGGUGCAAGCGUUAAUCGGAAUUACUGGGCGUACAGCGCACGCAGGCGGUUUGUUAAGUCAGAUGUGAAAUCCCCGGGCUCAACCUGGAAACUGCAUUCGAAACUGGCAGGCUAGAGUCUUGUAGAGGGGGGUAGAAUUCCAGGUGUAGCGGUGAAAUGCGUAGAGAUCUGAAGGAAUACCGGUGGCGAAGGCAGCCCCCUGGACAAAGACUGACGCUCAGGUGCGAAAGAGUGGGGAGCAAACAGG
rnacentral:rRNA from 1 species